AACGAACGCUGGCGGCAUGCCUAACACAUGCAAGUCGAACGAGACCUUCGGGUCUGGUGGCGCACGGGGGCGUAACGCGUGGGAACCUGCCCUUAGGUUCGGAAUAACUCCCCGAAGGGGGUGCUAAUACCGGAUAAUGUCUUCGGACCAAAGAGUGAUCGCCUUUGGAUGGGCCCGCGUUGGAUUAGCUAGUUGGUAGGGUAAAAGCCUACCAAGGCGACGAUCCAUAGCUGGUCUGAGAGGAUGAUCAGCCACACUGGGACUGAGACACGGCCCAGACUCGUACGGGAGGCAGCAGUGGGGAAUAUUGGACAACGGGCGAAAGCCUGAACCAGCAAUGCCGCGUGAGUGAUGAAGGCCGUAGGGUUGUAAAGCUCUUUUACCCGGGAUGAUAAUGACAGUACCGGGAGAAUAAGCUCCGGCUAACUCCGUG
rnacentral:rRNA from 1 species